rnacentral:rRNA from 1 species
GGGCGAAAGCCUGAAGCAGCAACGCCGCGUGUGUGAUGAAGGCCUUCGGGUCGUAAAGCACUUUUUCUGGGAGAUGAGAAAGGACAGUAUCCCAGGAAUAAGUCUCGGCUAACUACGUGCCAGCAGCCGCGGUAAAACGUAGGAGGCAAGCGUUAUCCGGAUUCACUGGGCGUAAAGCGCGUGCAGGUGGCGCGGUAAGUUGGGCGUGAAAUCUCCCGGCUCAACUGGGAGAGGUCGUCCAAUACUACCGUGCUUGAGAGCAGAAGGGGAAGAUGGAAUUCCCGGUGUAGUGGUGAAAUGCGUAGAUAUCGGGAGGAACACCAGAGGCGAAGGCGAUCUUCUGGUCUGUUUCUGACACUCAGACGCGACAGCUAGGGUAGUAAACGGGAUUAGAGACCCCGGUAAUCCUAGCCGUAAACGAUGUGAACUUGGCGUUGGUGGGUUAAACUCCAUCAGUGCCGUAGCAAACGCGAUAAGUUCACCGCCUGGGGACUACGGCCGCAAGGUUA